UUCUAUCAUUUCGUCUCCAUUUGGUUUGUGACGGUUGUUUAUUUGCAUUUAUUGCUCAAAAUCCUCUUUCUAUCAGCAUUAAACUUUAUUUUCCCUUCCUUCCUUGUCCUAAUAAAUUAUCUGCAGGACCCUUACAUCUUUGUUUUUCUUUACUCCUCUUAUUUAUUUAAUCAAUUUUCCCAUCUGCAUUAAUUCUUCUUUCUUUUCUUUCUCUCCCUACUUGAGUUUAUGCAUUCUCCUCUCAUCCAUGCUCCUCUCUUCCUCUCUCUUUCUUAGUUCUUAUUCUUCUUGCACAUCGUCGCUGUUUCAUUUCUAUUCGGAUUUCAUAAUGAUCAUUAAACCUAGAUUUGGACAAUUAGCUAAUAGAUUUGCAUCUGAGUUGUUAUUAUUGCAUUUUCUAUGUCAAGAUCUCGGCAACACGUAUGUCUCUUACCCUUGCAUAUACAGUUUGUGAUUUUUCCUAGAGUCUCUCAUUUUACACAUAUUUGGUUGUAGUUUGUUCUUUCCGUAUUUGGUUGUUGUUUUCUCUUUUCUGGGUUGCCUAAUGUCUGUCCCAUCUGAAAUGUAAAAUUUCUUAAGCAAUCUGACUAAUACCUUAACCCUAGAACAAGAAGAGGAUACAAUCCAUGCCCUUGUAGAAGCCCCUAAUCGUUCCUCAACCAACAGUGACCCUAUUUACCUUAUUUUUUGACUCUUGACCAUUAGGUCCUUCAAAAAAGAGCCCAUGAAAAAUAGACUUGUAGAGGUUUCGCCUACCCAUUUCCCAGCUGCUAUUACUAUCCAUGCUCCUGGUAUAUUCCUAGCUCAAUUUGGCUGUGAGGGAGAUAGGCAGAGAGUUCUGGAGGGUCAUCCAUGGCAUUUUGACUAAAGUGACAUUGUAAUGGGACACCCUGAUAGUGUCUCUACUCAUGACCCUUCAAAACUGUAUUUCACCCAUUUUUGGAAUCAAGUCUAUCAAAUCCCUUUUGGCCGAAGUUUCCUGAGCUUGCCCAAUUAAUCUGGGCCUUUCUUUUGACUUAGGGUUCUAGUUGAUGUUCAUAAGCCUAUCAAAAGGAGCAUGUAUGUUACCUUUCCCACACUAUAGGGAGUCAAGCGUCUGGAGUUAAAGUAUGAGCGGUUACCCAAUUUUUGUUAUUACUAUGGUAUGUUGGAUCAUACCUACUCCUACUAUGUGAAGUACCUCCAGAGGUGUGAUGAUACCUUGAGUACCCCUGCUCUCUCUUACACUUCGGACCUUAGAGCUCAUGUUGCCUCUCUAUACAAGCUAGUCAUGUUCCAUGUUCCUCUACCCCCUACUAUAGUCGAAGUUUGGUCCUCCUCCACUGGCCAAACCCAAUCAGCUAGCCAAGAUGCACUCCUCCAUUAUGCAAUCAAUUAUCCCGUUAACUCUGCUCCCAUUUUACCAUUUACCUCCUCUCUUAUCAACCCUUCAUUUCGUACUAACCCUAUUCUUGUUAUGGUUCCAUCCCCCAUCAAUACUAACCUUUCCCCUGAAGUCUCCCUUGGUAAUGCCCCUGUUCUCCCUGCCAUUGUUGUUGAUUCACUUGAUUCUGCCUCAUUGCCUGUUUCUGAGGCUCUACUUGUCACUCAGAGCACUACUAGUGAUCGUGGUAAGUAAGUUUCUGGCACCAAGCGUCCCUUUUUCCCUCAGGAAGUUGUUGUGGGCGGCAGUGUUCGCUCCACUCUCAAGAGAGCCUGUGCCAUGGCCACUGAUGUCCCAUUUGAUCCCACUCUUUUCUAAGAUGAACAAAAAUGAGUCUCAUCAGUUGGAAUGCUUGAGGUUUGGGAAGUCCUCGAGCAUUUCGUAAUCUAUCUUUCUUGGUCAAGCAGCACAAGCUGUUUCUUUUGUUUAUUAUAGAAACCAAACUAUGUACAGGUUCUGUAAAUAGGUCUAGAACUUUGCUGCAUUUUGAUUGUGGGUUUGAAAUCCCCAGGAAAAAUUUGAGAGGAGGGUUGAUGCUUUUGUGUAAAAAAAGAUGUUAAUGUUUCCAUUUUAUCUUUCACUAUGAAUCACAGACUGUUUUGUAACUCUUGAUGGUCAUUGAACUUUUCGUUUCUCCGGUUUCUGUGGUUCUCCCUUUUAUUCUAAUCGUUCCUAUACUUGGCUUUACUUUCUCGUUUGUAUGAUACUGCCUAACCAUGGGCAAUUUUAAUGCUUUUAUUUGUUCUUCUGAUAAAUACAAUGUUUCUUCUUCUUCCACUAAUUCUAUGCACGACUUUAAUGAUUUUAUUAAUAUUUUCAAUAUGUUUCCUUUGCCCUUUGCCUUUUGUUGGUUUCAAGUACACUUGGAUUAACAACAAAACUUUUGAAAGACUUGAUUGGGGUUGUGUGUAUUGUCGUGAAUUUGAUAUUAAGAUUAAGUGUAACGACCCGAAUUUGCUAAUCAGCCUUGAUUAGUUGAAAAUAAAUAUUUGGAGAUAUAUUUGAGGAUAGAAUGUCUAGGCGGGAAUAUUGGAGAAAUUUACCAUUUUGCCCUCGGGACGUUUUGGUACCUCGAGCCUUGAGGUAACUCUUUAGACUUAAGUCAAAUAAAACAAAAAGGGGAAACAUUUAGAAGCUAUAGAAACCGACCUACUCUCUUUUCUUUCAGCUAAGGAUAGUUUUAUCUCUUCCUUCCUCAUUCACUCUCUAAGAUAAACACAAGGAAAACUAAGGGAAUCAACUUGAAGGUCUAGGGGAAUUCAGCUGUGAUAUUAUAGGAGCUUGAAGCUUAAGGCUUGAGGAUCAACUACAGGGAUUGAAUUCAGCAAGGUAAGCUUUAAUUAUUGGGAUUAUGUUGAGAAUUGUUACUGGUUUGCUAGAAUAUGCAUGGUAGUUAAGUUUGACAUGUUCUUGAGUAUCUUAGUUGGGUUUUGGAGCAGGUUUUGAUGGGGUUUUAGUGUUGAUAUUGAGCUGGUAUGUAUGUGUUAAAUAUCUGGGUUUGAUAGGUGAGUUUUGGGUGAAUUAGCUUGAGGAAAGGUGUGGAAAAAUGGUGGAAAAUCUGGGUUCGGAGGUGAGAGUCGCGGCCCUAGGAGGGGUGCGCCGCGGCCCGUGUGCACGCGCGACCAUGGGAGGCCGAGAAGGUUCAUGCGCGCCGCGGCGCUUAGUGGGCGCGUUGCGGCCCGGGUGGGGAUCAGUGUGGUGCUAGCCUCUGUUUUGAGGCUAGUCGCGUCUCUUGAGGGUGGGGCUGCGACCCUUAGUGCCAGUUUGCAUUUUUAAGGGUGUUUAGGCUUGGGAAUUCAAUGGUUAAGGCUCGGGAUGGAUUUUAUCACCUAGAUUGAUAGAAUUCAAGGUUCCGGAGGUUAGGGUUAUGGCUCGAAGUUGUUCAUUGGAUUAGAACUUGAUGACUGGAUAUUGGUAAUGUGUUGUGACUAGGGAUUUCGGCGAGGCUAGUUAGAGGACUGUGCUUGGGACAUCGGUGCUCGGAGAGCUCGGGACUCAGGUAAGAAAACCCAUGUUCCCAUAAGAGCUUAUGUGCAGGGCUGAACCCAAUGUGUUUAAGUGGAUUGAUAUGCAGGGCUAAGCCCAAUGUGUUUGAACGGAUUGAUAUGCAGGGCCGAGCCCAAUAUGUUAGAACUGCUUAGCGUAGCUCUUUAUCUGUUUAUGCUAGAAUUCUGUACUUGCUGUUAUGUCAUGUAUGAUAUUAUGUGAGUGAUCGGCAAGAGCCGGGAACGGUGUAGACCGAGGACGGCGAGGGGCUGGGAACGACGUCAGGCACGUUGAGUGCAAGGCCGAGAACGGCAAGGGGCCGGGAGCAGUGUUGAGCACGUGGGGUGCGAGUUGCCAGGGCUAGUCCCUAGAAGGAUACCUGGGAUAUCCUUACGACGUGGUCUGCGAAUCCAGGUCGUAUGUGUUUAGCCAAUUGGUGGCCUAUUUAUAUGCCUGAUAUAUGUGUUGCAUAUGUUAUCUGUUUGUGGGUUUUCUUGCUGGGCUUCGGCUCACAGAUGCUCUGUGGUGCAGGUAAGGGUAAAGAGAAGAUUAACCAACUAUGAGUAUAGCAGGCGUGGGGCGGCGUGUACAUGUUUGGCCAGCCUGGCUGCCACGGCCAGAGGAUUUUGGGAGAUGCUUGUAAAUAAACUCUGAUUUUGUCGUCUAGUCGACUUGGUUUAAUUAAUAUGUUGUAAACAUUUCUAAACUGUAUUUUGGGAUCCCGAGUGUAAACCUUUUAUGAUUUUCUAUGGAAAUUAUUAUUUCUAAAGUGUUUCCUCUGUUUAUGGCUUAAUUACACUGUUUGAUCUAAAACCUCGAUUAGCGAGUUGAGAGCACGUUUUUAAACUCACUUAGUAACGACUCUAAGAAAGUAGGGCGUUACACUAAGUGUCUUGACUAUAGUGUUUGGAGGGCCUAAUUGGGAUUUUAUAAGCGGGUAAUUGAAUAUAAGUGUGGUGAUGUGAUAUAAAUAAAAUAUGUGGUAAUGUGAUUAGACAUGCAUGUCGUGUGUAUUAAAUAUGUAUGUGGACUCAUUUCUAUAAAUAGUGGUGUGUGUAUUUUUGGCACGUUGAGGGCAUAAAUAUAAUUAUGCUUGUAUUGUGAGUAAGACUCCAAUGUUAUGGGAUAUAUUUGAGACGUGUGGUUCGAGACGAUCCUAGGGAGCAGAUUAGCGGAAUAGUCACAACGGGGUUAGAUACCUGGCUUGGGGUGGGCCUAGGGGUAUUUUGAGAACUUGGCAUGUGUCUGGGGUUUACCGGGUAACAGAUAAUAAUUUGGGUAUGUCGGGAUUAAAUGAGAAUUUAUAGGAUUACUUGAGGAUUUGCGGGAAACGUGACAAAUGAUGAUUUUGCCCUUGGGGCCAUUAAAGGAUAAGGUUAAGUCUAAAGGGCAUUUUGGACUUUUCAAUUAGGGGAUAGACUUGGAUAGCCUUGGAUACUAGAACCCGCCAGAAUUUUGGAGGAACAUACUCUCUUUCUCCCUCAGGCUUAUCUCUCUUAGCUCUCUCACUCUCUUUAGUAUGCUUGGAGGUGUUGAUGAAUUCUGGAGGAAUUUAGCUAAGGAAUUGUAAAAUUGGAGGCUUAAAGUGCUUGGGAAUUAGCUCAGGCCGAAAUUAUCACUGAGGUCUUACCGCUUAGGCUCAUGAUUAGGAAUCGUGCUCGGGAUCGCUUUGGGUUGUCAGCUCAGGAUACCAGGUAAGAGAACUGCUUGUACCCGUAGAGCUAUGUGAUGUAUAACGUUGUAUGUAUUGUUCAUAUUUGUUAUGUCAUACAUGUGAUUAUGGUUGAUCGGCAAGAUCCGGAAGCGGCAAGGGGCCAAGAACGGCGUUAAGCAUGUUGAAUGCAAGCCGCCAGGGCGAGACCCUCAAGGGUGCUGUACACACCCAUUCGGCUGGGACCGCAGACUUAAUACCUGGUAACGUACCCCGAUCGGCAGAGGCUGGUGCUUUGGUAUUCUGUUGUUGUAGUAUUGAGUUGUCGUGUUAUUGUGUUAUGAUACUGCUAUAUUAUAGUAUUGUUGUACUAUUAGGUUGUUAUGCCAUUGUGUUAUUGAGCUAUUCUACUGCGGUUAUGUUAUGCAUUUCAAUGAAAACAUGUAAUUAUUUGCUAUCUAUGAUUAAGUAUGUAUUUGUUGAAGUAUGUUUUUGUAUGCCAUGCUUGAAGUUCUCUUGCUGGGCCUCGGCUCAUGGGUGUUUUGUGGUGCAAGUAAGAGCAAGGAAAAAUGUCAAACAACCAUGAGUUGGAGGGCAUGGAGUGGUGUGUACAUGUUUGGCCUACCUGUCCACCACGGCUAGGGUUGUUUUAAGGAACACGUGGUAAAUGUUCGCUUUUGUCGCUUAGGUCGACUGUACCAAACCUUUGGAUUGUAAAUGCAUUUUGAAACAGUAUUUUGGGAUCCCAAUGUAAAAUUUUUAUCAGUUUUAAUGAAUGACCAACUCUUUUUAUCUAAUGUUCAUUAAAUGAGUCCUUACUUUGGUUUAAUCACAUUUUUUAAUCUAAAAUUUCGAUUAACGAGCUAAUGGCACAUUUAUAAAUCAUAUGGUAACGACUCUAAGGAAGUAGGGUGUUAUAACUUGGUAUCAGAGCGUCCCAAAGUUUAUGGUUCUUGGAGAUUGACCGAACAUGUGUGCUCGUUGCCAGAGACAAGCUCAAGUCAAGUCUAGGUGAUUCUAAGGAAACAUUGGAAGGUUGUGAAGAAAAUAGAAGAUCGGUUCAGUUUCUUGAUAAUACUCUGCGAUAGAGAGGAUACAAGAGUUAGAGAAACUGAAUGAAUAACUAUUUCAUUCCGCUGCGUAUACUGUAAGAGCAAGGAAAAAGGUCAAACAACCAUGAGUUGGAGGGCAUGGAGCGGUGUGCACAUGUUUGGCCUACCUGGCCGCCACAGCUAGGGUUGUUUUAAGGAGCACGUGGUAAAUGUUCGCUUUUGUCGCUUAGGUCGAUUGUACCAAACCUGUUGAUUGUAAAUGCAUUUUGAAAUAGUAUUUUGGGAUCCCAAUGUAAUAUUUUUACGAGUUUUAAUGAAUGAUGAACUCUUUUUAUCUAAUGUUCAUUAAAUGA